rnacentral:ncRNA from 1 species
CCAAGGGGUGCUGAAGCCCGCCUGUGGCCGAUGCUGAGAUAAUACCCUUAUACCUGAUCGGGAUAAUGCCCGCGGAGGAAAUGUUUAUGU